GGCGGCGUGCUUAACACAUGCAAGUCGAACGAUGAUGGUGGUGCUUGCAUCACCUGAUUAGUGGCGAACGGGUGAGUAACACGUGAGUAACCUGCCCCUCACUUCGGGAUAACCUCGGGAAAUCGUGGCUAAUACCGGUUAUGAACUUCUACCGCAUGGUGGUCGUUGGAAAGAUUUAUCGGUGAGGGAUGGACUCGCGGCCUAUCAGUUUGUUGGUGAGGUAAUGGCUCACCAAGACGAUGACGGGUAGCCGGCCUGAGAGGGCGACCGGCCACACUGGGACUGAGACACGGCCCAGACUCCUACGGGA
rnacentral:rRNA from 1 species